rnacentral:lncRNA from 1 species
AAAAAUGGAAUUUUUUAUUUUCCUUUUGUAAUGGACUAUGUAUACACUGAUGAAUGAAUGAAUGACCUUUUAUUUGAAUGAAAUGACCAUGAUUAAAUGUAAACAAAUUUUGAUUUUUUGAAUGAAAUUUACCUAAAAACCAAGUCUGAUCCAUGGCUUUAAAACCCUUGAACCAUAAAGAUCAUGAAUGCAUUACAUGAAUUAAAUAUAAAACAAAUGAAUGAAUCAAGAGUUAAUGGACUACAAUGCACCAUGAAUCAACACUGGACCACAAGAUCAAGAACCAAUGCAAUUAUGAAUCAUGAAUCAAUGACCAUAAACCUAUGAACUUGAAAGUACCAUAGACUUAGAAUCAAUGAAUUAGGGAUGACCAAAUAGCAUGCCUAAUAUGUGACAUGGAUGCUUUGAACAAAACCUUGAAUCAGAUUUCAUUCUCAACCAUUGGUGGUUGCACAUAUACAUUUUUACUCCAAUCAAGAUUACACAUAUACACAUUGUUUCAAUGAAUUCUUUCUAUAAAAAAAAAAGAGGUAACCAAAAAAUCUAAUAUAUAGUCUCAACAAGUUCAAUUGGUGGCCAUUUGUUGUAUUCCAAAUGUGCUAUAUAAGUCUCAAAUUUGAUUUUUGAGAGUAUUGAUUCCAUACCAACAUCAACUCAUCCCAUAAAAAAACUACUCAUAUAAUAAUAAAACAUGACAUUGAACAAGAGGUGAAUUAAAAUGUGUAAAAAAAAUACUAAAUCCAAAUCUUAUAACGACAGAAUAUAGUGCGUUGGUAUCCUGAUUAUCAUUACACCAAAAUCAAGUUUCUUAUCAUCACAAGACCAUUUCAAUCCACAAACAUGUCAAAGUAAAGGAUAAAAAUUGCCAUAAAAUUCUCUACUUACAUAAAAUUGACCUUAUAAAAACAUUAUUACUAGCUUAGUUUAACGUGUAUUUAUUUGUCAGUUUUUUAUACAUGUCAAUAAACCAGUUCUUGUUAUUAUCCUCCCAAAUCUGUUGCCAUAAGCCAAAAUCGUUUUCUAUAGUUAUUCUGAAUCAUCAAAUAGACGGAAGGAUAAAACAAAAUAUAAGUAAGUUAAUGGCUAGUUAAUAAGGUACAUGAACUUGACCAAUUUAUUUAUUUAUUUAUUUAUUAAAACUCAAUUUUAAUCAAACUUAUAUUUUAUUAAUGUUUUCUGAUUUAAGAUUGAGUUGAAACCCAAAAAUUUAUUCCAAAAGACAGAUGUAAUGAAAUCGAUUUUGAUUUGUUGUAUUUUGUAUUAUAAUUUUAUUUUAUUUGCAUGAACACCCCGGGUGCAUGAAACGUUAUAAAGUAUUGAGACACACACAUAAAUAAAUUACCCUCUGAAAUAAAAUAAAAAGAUAACUUCAUAAUAAAAUAUACUUAAGUUAAAUUUUUAGGCAAGACAAAUUUGACUUUUGGAACUCUUGUUUACUUAUAUUUAAUAUGAUGUCUAUCUAAUACUUUGAAUUCAUAGAAUGUGGUGGGAAAAAGUGGUAUGAAAAAAAUCUUUUUUAGUUGGAUUAUUUAAAAUUGGAGAGAGCAGGAAGAAAUGCCUUGUAUUAUUAAUUUAAUUUAUUUUAUUAUUUAUUAUUAAAGAGUAAAGUUAAUUAGAGAAGUUAGGAGGUAGUUUUUGAUGUUUCAAUACUAUAACUAACUCCAAUACACUUAGUAAUAAUUGUAUAUAUGUGAAUGCAUAGAUUUUCACUUAUGUAAUGUAAAAAUACCACACAAAGAGCAAGUCGAGCUUGAUGUCUUAUCAUCUUUUCACCAUAAAUGCAUACCUUCAUAUUUUAUGUUCCAUUCGUAUUAAAGUAUUCCAUCAGAUUUUUCAUAUUUAAUUUAAUUACUUUAAUAAUAGAAAGAAUGAAUUGUCUUAUUAUAAAAAAGAAAAUGAAUAGAGUAGGAAUUGAGUUAUUCAAAUAAUAACUUUCUUAAUAACAUAAAAACAACUGAUUAUCCAACAAACGUCGGACAAAAAACUAUACCAUCAAUGGAACCAUCUUAUUCCAAAUAGUGUCAUUGAUGAUAGAGUCUUCAGAAACAUCAUUCGCACUUGAUAAAUUAUAAGCAAUUUUGAUAAGUUGAGUUAAAAGUGUAACUCAAGUGCCUGUAACUGAUUACUGCGGGUUUGUAACUGGUUAUAGGUGAAACAUAAUUGAAUUGUAACCGAUCACUGUGGAGAUGUAACUGGUUACAACAUUGUAGCACUGAAACAAAAGCAUUCAGUAAUCGAUUAUUGCGAGGAUGUAACUGGCUACAACAUUAAUUUUUUCUGUUAUUUUGUUUAUUACUUGAACCUCACUCAAUAUAAAUGUAUAUAUACCCUUUGGGCAUCUCAAUAAUAUUGUUCACCAUUUUUCAUCCUCAA